AAAUAAGUGAAAAAACAUGUUGUUGUGUUUUUUAAUUAAAUUAAAGUGGUAAAAAAGUUAUAAUUUUUCAAUAAAAGUUUAUAAAUGUUAAUUGAAAUGUCUACUUUUGGGGCAUAUUGAAGUUAUGGCAUAAAAUGUAAAAUUAAAAAAGAAAAUCGAGUGUAAAGUUUGUAAAAAAAUGGCCGAGAUAAUGUGCGGCCGGUGAAAAAUUAAAGCCACAAAGAAAGUAAACAAAAAAAGAAUAUGUAAGAAUUGUUAUAGAAGGUGAUAAGAAAUGCACUAAACUGAAGUUCUUUUCUAAUGGAUGGACAUUUUGCAGCAUUAAGGCUCCUUAAAAUAGGCUUUAAAUCCUGUAUUUUUUUUGUUAGCUGCUUAAAAGAGAUAUUCGUCUGAUGGAGUCAACGUAGUCUAAGUCCAACCGGCCAAAAAAUUCAAACCGUUCAACUACGCAAUCAAUACUUUAUAUUUGCAUAAUAGUUCUGUCAUGCCCAAUACAAACGGAAACACGAUAAUUUUCAAUAUAUGAAGAGUCUUUCUAAGGACUGCCAAAAAGGACAUCGAUAAUAUUAUUCAUGAACUUAACAGAUUUUUUCAUAAAAUAACAAUACACAAAUUAUUACCGGCGUUGUUAAAGUUUGUCGGCGGAGGUAUCUUUGUGAAAAUUACUUUUGACACUUGGCGCCAAGGCAAAUUCACAUAAGGUAGUUUUGUUAUUCAGUCAGCUGACAUUUUUUGUUCUUCACUUGACUGGUACCAAAGUAAAUUAAUAAAGUAGCAUCACUUGA